CGCAGUUUUCUGCUUUCAAGUUAAAAUGUCAGAAACAGAACACCAAAUAUUUACAAUUCUUAUAAGGAAUGUUACAUAAUGACACAUUAAGGCGUAAAUUCUUUUGGCUUAUAAUUCUGAAAAGAAUGAUAAUAGCAAAAAGUGAUGCAAAAUCUUCAUCGUGAGAUUAUGAUUAAGCUACAAUGUUUUACAAAAAUAUGGUGUAAGAUGGCAAUAAUCCCAUUCAAAAUCCUGCAUUAGGCCCCUCAAGAGAGGCUGAUAAUUUAUACAGUCAAAACUUUAAAAUUUACAUAUAAAGGUACCCUAUCCACCAUUGAAAAGUACAACUCUCAACAUAUACAGUUUUCAGGCCACAGUUUUGAAGGUCUGGAGUAUCAAGUUGGUUUGAUGAAUUAGUCGGUUGGCACUAAUGAACACAUUUAUUGCCUUUCCAUCUUUAAAAUAGGUUUUCAGAGUAUCGCUGAAACUUUUGGAGUAUUUUACAAACUCUUUCUUUUGGUGCUCAAGUGCCCUCCGGUUCUGGUAUUGGUAUUUCUUGAAGACAUUAUUUACUGUGUCAAGAAGUUCCUUUAUUGCACUGGCGAUAUCCUUGAUUGUCUGAAGAAACCUCACCCUGUCAUUGAUCUCAUCUGGAAUCUUACUAAGAAUCUGUUUAAGUGCUCGCGCCUUUUCAUUCAGAUCUUGGAAUUCUGGUUCUGGUCUUUCAAUCAUAUAUUCUUCUACAUCAUCCGCUGCCAUACGUAGGAGAGACUCUGUAAAGUUCACAUCCACACUUUUUUUCUCCAGAAUUUUCAUAAUAAUGUCCUGUGUGAGGCCUGGAUUUUCUUUUUCAGCCUUAAUAAAAGCUGCUCUCAGUGUCUGAGCUGCAGACAGAUUUACUCUUUCUAGCUCGUUAAAGACAGGGUACAUAACAGCAUAGAGUGGCAUGGAAACCAUAGAAGUGGUCUCUGCUUCAUUCUUCAUCUCUUCCAUUGUCAUCCUCAUUCAAAGACCCACUUCUGAAGAAAAAUGCUAUAGAAGCAAAAGACUCCUCAUUCACUGAAACGUUUCUUCUUUCUCCUCGUUGUGCAAGAAUAUUUGAAGAACUUGAGAAAUACGUUGUCCUCAGCUCCCCUCCACCCCGCAAAGCCCACAGAGCUCCGAGGGGGCUUCUCCGCCGCACCGGAAGCCCUACGAGGAAGAAGCGUCCGCCGUGUUACCACACACCAGGCGUUGUCCGGAACUAACCGGCAGCCGCGCGGACCCCUGGGAUUUGUAGUCCGC
rnacentral:lncRNA from 1 species